UUUUUUUUUUUUUUUUUUUUUUUUUUCUUCGGCGAACGCGGCGGCGUGCUUAAUACAUGCAAGUCGAGCGGACAGAUGGGAGCUUGCUCCCUGAUGUUAGCGGCGGACGGGUGAGUAACACGUGGGUCACCUGCCCGUAAGACUGGGAUAACUCCGGGAAACCGGGGCUAAUACCGGAUGCUUGUAUGAACCGCAUGGUUCAAACAUAAAAGGUGGCUUCGGUUACCACUUACAGAUGGACCCGCGGCGCCUUAGCUAGUUGGUGAGGUAAUGGCUCACCAAGGCGACGAUGCGUAGCCGACCUGAGAGGGUGAUCGGCCACACUGGGACUGAGACACGGCCCAGACUCCUACGGGAGGCAGCAGUAGGGAAUUUUCCGCAAUGGACGAAAGUUUGACGGAGCAACGCCGCCUGAGUGAUGAAGGUGUUUGGAUUGUAAAGCUUUGUUGUUAGGGAAGAACAAGUACCGUUCGAAUAGGGCGGUACCUUGACGGUACCUAACCAGAAAGCCACGGCUAACUACGUGCCAGCAGCCGCGGUAAUACGUAGGUGGCAAGCGUUGUCCGGAAUUAUUGGGCGUAAAGGGCUCGCAGGCGGUUUCUUAAGUCUGAUGUGAAAGCCCCCGGCUCAACCGGGGAGGGUCAUUGGAAACUGGGGAACUUGAGUGCAGAAGAGGAGAGUGGAAUUCCACGUGUAGCGGUGAAAUGCGUAGAGAUGUGGAGGAACACCAGUGGCGAAGGCGACUCUCUGGUCUGUAACUGACGCUGAGGAGCGAAAGCGUGGGGAGCGAACAGGAUUAGAUACCCUGGUAGUCCACGCCGUAAACGAUGAGUGCUAAGUGUUAGGGGGUUUCCGCCCCUUAGUGCUGCAGCUAACGCAUUAAGCACUCCGCCCUGGGAGACCUCGACAGG
rnacentral:rRNA from 1 species